rnacentral:rRNA from 1 species
AAUCAACGCUGGCGGCGCGCUUAACACAUGCAAGUCGCACGAGAAAGCAGGGGCAACUCUGUGAGUACAGUGGCGUACGGGUGAGUAACACGUGGAUCAUCUACCUCUUGGCGGGGAAUACCCCUGGGAAACCGGGGAUAAUACCGCAUAAGCUCGUGAGAGGAAACCCGCAAGGGGCCGAGAGAGGAGUCCGCGGCCGAUUAGCUAGUUGGCGAGGUAAUGGCUCACCAAGGCGACGAUCGGUAGCCGGCCUGAGAGGGCACACGGCCA